ACGAACGCUGGCGGCGUGCUUAACACAUGCAAGUCGAACGGAGUGUUUCAAAAAGCUUGCUUUUUGCAACACUCAGUGGCGCACGGGUGAGUAACACGUGGGCAACCUGCCCGGAAGACUGGGAUAACACCUCGAAAGGGGUGCUAAUACCGGAUACCUUCACGGAGUCGCAUGACUUUGUGCAGAAAGAAAUUCGCUUCCGGAUGGGCCCGCGUCCCAUUAGCUAGUUGGCGAGGUAACGGCUCACCAAGGCGACGAUGGGUAGCUG
rnacentral:rRNA from 1 species